GCAGUCGAACGAGAACCGGGGGCAACUCCGGGGAAAGUGGCGAAAGGGGCAGUAAGGCGUGGGUAACCUGCCCCGGGGACCGGGAUAGCCGGCCUAACGGCCGGGUAAUACCGGGCGCCGUGCCGAGGUCGCAUGACCUUGUCACGGAAUGAAUUUCGCCCCGGGAGGGGCUCACGUGGUAUUAGCUAGUUGGCGGGGUAACGGCCCACCAAGGCUGAGAUGCCUAGCGGGUGUGAGAGCACGACCCGCGCCACUGGCACUGCGACACUGGCCAGACUCCUACGGGAGGCUGCAGUCGAGGAUCUUCGGCAAUGGGCGCAAGCCUGACCGAGCGACGCCGCGUGGAGGACGAAGGCCUUCGGGUUGUAAACUCCUGUCGAGGGGAAGGAAAGCCGCAAGGCCUGACCGACCCCUGGAGGAAGCACGGGCUAAGUUCGUGCCAGCAGCCGCGGUAAGACGAACCGUGCGAACGUUGUUCGGAUUCACUGGGCUUAAAGGGCGCGUAGGCGGGUGACCAAGUCCGGGGUGAAAUCUUUCGGCUCAACCGGAAAAUAGCCCUGGAUACUGGUCGUCUGGAGGGAGGUAGGGGCACGCGGAACUUCCGGUGGAGCGGUGAAAUGCGUAGAGAUCGGAAGGAACGCCGGUGGCGAAAGCGGCGUGCUGGACCUCUUCUGACGCUGAGGCGCGAAAGCCAGGGGAGCAAACGGGAUUAGAUACCCCGGUAGUCCUGGCCCUAAACGAUGGGUACUAGGUUGUGGACUUGACAUGGGUUCACAGCCGAAGCAAAAGUGUUAAGU
rnacentral:rRNA from 1 species